rnacentral:sRNA from 1 species
CAAUUGCUCAUCGCUGGGCCCGGAAGAUCACACAGAGGGUUUGGCCUGGAGUGACUCCUCCAAGCAGGGUCUGUACCGCCCUGUGAGCUCAAGGAGGGAGAAGAGCUGUGGAGAAACACUCUGGUGUCUCUUGCAGAUAAAACAGUGGAGGGGCAGUAGGAGUAGGCAAGCCUGGGCCACCAUGGGCCACUUGUCUCUGAGGUGUGCAAAGAGGUCCCAGAGGGCCACUUGGCAGCAGGGCUGAUUGGGGGCCCUGCAUGGAGUCCCCUGUGUCUGUUGUCUCACGAGUCGGGGUCUACCAGAGACCCUGCAUGAUCCGCAGCAGUCCUGGCCCAUUAGACCUUCCUGUGUGAAAGAAAUGUUCUAUUCUCUGCUUUCCAACACAGUCACCACUGGCCGCAUGUGGCCCCCAAGGCUUGGGAUGUGGCUCUUGCCACUGAGGCCUGGAUGUGGGUGUUUCAUUGCAUUUGAAUGAGUCUGAACCUGUCUUUGAAGAGCCUAGGGCCAGUGUGUGCCACGUUCAGCUGUGCAGGGCAGCGUCCGCUCGUGGUUGGGUUCAGAGGAUCUGACUGCUGGUGCCACACAUGUGCUAGCUCACGCGAGUCUCACGACAGCCUUGCUCCAUGGAAGAGGAAGGGGAGCCUCGGGAAGGGUGACAGCGGUGGGGUCUUUAGCUGGAGUGGCCCAAGCCAUCGCGGAUGGAGGGAUGGAUUUGGCCAUUCGUCAAACAGCUACCGAGCACCCACUGUACAUGUGGCUCUGUGCUGGGACAUUCAGGAGGGCAAGAGAAGGAAUGCAGACAAACACCCGGGCCGGGCUCCAGCAAGCCCCGGGUUCCGGGCUAUGUCAGGUGCUCAGGGCUGAUCCUGGCAUGUCUUGCAGCCUCUGGCUUCCAAUCUGAGAAGGGUGGACCCUGGGCUCUUAUGUGAUGCAGCGGUAGGGGGGUGCCCUUUGCCAGCAGGUGGGAGCCAUCUGUCUGCAGAGCUCAGUCCCUGUAGAGGCGGUAGAGGUGCCCGUGGGAGGCCAGGGAGGUGAGGAAGGAAGCCAAGCCCGCAGCCCUGGGAAAGCCCAAGGAGUCGGUUUGAGAUUAUUUUGGGCAUCUCUACCGCCAAAUUGCUGGCUUCCACUGCUAGUCUUUCCCCUGGAGAACUGUUUUGAGCAGAAGCAAAACCACAGGGCGAGGAGAAGCUUAGAGGAACACAUUAACUCUUUGUGGACCCAGGAACAGCCUGCGGGCACCUGCGUCCUGCUUCUGUGGGUCUGGCUGCUGCAAAGCCCCUGGUGGGGUGGAGGGAGCUGAGGGUCACUGGGGCGGCCCUCAGGGCGCCUCUGUUCUAGUGGAUGACAGGAUGGUGGGGAAGCUGGUGCGUAUGUGGUGUAGACAUUCGUAUUCUAGAUCCAGAACCCCUCCCUCUUCUUCCCGCCCCCUUUUUUCUUCCUCCCCCAAGUCCUUCCCAGAAUCCCCCUUUCUGUUUCCUUCCUGGACAGGCGCUCACUGUUGUACUGAUGAGGUUGUAACAGAAACACUGGGAAGCCUCACAGCAGCCGGAGGGGGCACCAAAAGGAGCCCCCCUGUUUCCACCAUUAGCCAAGCAAACGGAGCAGAAUACUGAACUGCCUGAGUGCCACUGUCAUGGAAAACACACCCAGGAAAAUCCCCUCUGCACACCCAGCAGGGGUUUGCCUUGGGGGGUCCAGGACCCCACAGAUCUCUUUUCCUUUCUGUUGUCCUGCUCCGUAUUUUAGGAACUUCCCACAGUGGCCCCAUAGUAUGUCUAUUCACAGUCACAUUAGGAACCAUGGCGCUGUGCCGUGUACAUACCUCAGGUGCCGUUUGGCUUAGAUAUCGCUGUAGGCACUGCGGAGGGAACUCUAAUUAAAGAUAGAGAUGUCCAAGCAUGGCUGUCGUGCAGAGGGGGCUAAGGGUGCUGUGCAUGGUCAGCGUUCCCAGGCAGUGGUAGGAAGCCUCGGGGCCUGACACUGACUGAGCCCCCCUACUGCUCCCCCAGGAGGCCUGGAGGCUGACGAGGCACUGCCCUCAGGGCUGCCGCCCACCUUCAUCCGCUUCAGCCACCACUCCUACGCCCAGAUGGUGCGUGUGCUGAGGCGGACGGCCUCCCGCUGCGCCCACGUGGCCAGGACCUACAGCAUCGGGCGCAGCUUCGACGGCAGGGAGCUGCUGGUCAUCGAGUUCUCCAGCCGCCCCGGCCAGCACGAGCUGAUGGAGCCCGAGGUGAAGCUCAUUGGCAACAUUCACGGCAACGAGGUGGCGGGCCGGGAGAUGCUCAUCUAUCUAGCCCAGUACCUGUGCUCUGAGUACCUACUGGGUAACCCCCGCAUCCAGCGCCUGCUGAACACCACCCGCAUCCACCUGCUGCCCUCCAUGAACCCUGACGGCUACGAGGUGGCAGCUGCCGAGGGUGCCGGCUACAAUGGGUGGACGAGCGGGAGGCAGAACGCGCAGAAUCUGGAUCUGAACCGAAAUUUCCCGGACCUGACGUCCGAGUACUACCGGCUGGCGGAGACCCGCGGCGCACGCAGCGACCACAUCCCCAUCCCCCAGCACUACUGGUGGGGUAAGGUGGCCCCGGAGACGAAGGCAAUCAUGAAGUGGAUGCAGACCAUACCCUUUGUGCUCUCGGCCAGCCUUCAUGGGGGCGACCUGGUGGUGUCUUACCCCUUCGACUUCUCCAAGCACCCCCAGGAGGAGAAGAUGUUUUCUCCCACACCCGAUGAGAAGAGGGAGCCCCCUCCUCAGCACAGACUUGUCCUGCUUGGUGGGGCCCUGAUGAACUCCAUGCAGGGGGAGCCCUUCGCCUGCCUGACCCACCAGGAGCCUCUGCCCAGGAUGUUCAAGCUGCUGUCCAGAGCCUACGCUGACGUCCACCCCAUGAUGAUGGACAGGUCGGAGAAUAGGUGUGGAGGCAAUUUCCUGAAGAGGGGGAGCAUCAUCAACGGGGCGGACUGGUACAGCUUCACGGGAGGCAUGUCCGACUUCAACUACCUGCACACCAACUGCUUUGAGAUCACGGUAGAGCUGGGUUGUGUGAAGUUCCCCCCCGAGGAGGCCCUGUACACGCUCUGGCAGCACAACAAGGAGUCACUCCUGAAUUUCGUGGAGAUGGUGCACCGGGGCAUCAAAGGUGUGGUGACGGACAAAUUCGGCAAGCCAGUCAAAAACGCCCGGAUCUUAGUCAAAGGCAUUCGCCACGACAUCACCACCGCCCCAGAUGGCGACUACUGGAGACUGCUGCCCCCAGGUGUCCACAUUGUCAUUGCCCAAGCCCCUGGCUACGCCAAGGUCAUCAAGAAAGUCAUCAUCCCCACCCGGAUGAAGAGGGCUGGCCGUGUGGACUUCAUCCUGCAGCCUCUGGGGAUGGGACCCAAGAACUUUCUUCAUGGGCUGCAGAGGACUGGGCCCCACGACCCGCUGGGAGGUGCCAGCUCUUUGGGGGAGGCCACGGAGCCCGACCCGCUCCGGGCGCGCAGGCAGCCCUCGGCCGACGGGAGCAAGCCCUGGUGGUGGUCCUACUUCACAUCGCUGAGCACGCACAGGCCACGCUGGCUGCUCAAGUACUAGCCCCUAACCCAGCACCCGCCCGGAUGUGGAGACCCAGGCCCACCUCCGCGUCCCGGGCUCCUGGCUCUUGAUUUUGUCUGCCACAGACAUCCCACAAAGCCGCUGCCGUUUUAUUAAAGUGUUUUUACCCACUUUCCACUGGAA